rnacentral:rRNA from 1 species
AAGCGCUCAUGACCAGACUUGGGCUUGGUUGAUCAUCCAGGGUUCUCCCUGGUGCACUCUUCCAGCCCAGGCCAGCAUCAGUUCGCUGUGGGGGAUAAAGGCUUUGGGAAUGUGGCUCCUCCGGGAGUGUUAUAACCCAGGGUAUAAUACCCCUAAGGAGACCGAGGUUCGCGCUCUGCAAGGAUGCUGGCGUAAUGGUCAUCAGCGA